rnacentral:rRNA from 1 species
CUACGGGUUGCUCCAGUGGGGAAUAUUGCACAAUGGGCGCAAGCCUGAUGCAGCCAUGCCGCGUGUAUGAAGAAGGCCUUCGGGUUGUAAAGUACUUUCAGCGGGGAGGAAGGGAGUAAAGUUAAUACCUUUGCUCAUUGACGUUACCCGCAGAAGAAGCACCGGCUAACUCCGUGCCAGCAGCCGCGGUAAUACGGAGGGUGCAAGCGUUAAUCGGAAUAACUGGGCGUAAAGCGCACGCAGGCGGUUUGUUAAGUCAGAUGUGAAAUCCCCGGGCUCAACCUGGGAACUGCAUCUGAUACUGGCAAGCUUGAGUCUCGUAGAGGGGGGUAGAAUUCUAGGUGUAGCGGUGAAAUGCGUAGAGAUCUGGAGGAAUACCGGUGGCGAAGGCGGCCCCCUGGACGAAGACUGACGCUCAGGUGCGAAAGCGUGGGGAGCAAACAGGAUUAGAUACCCUCGUAGUC